rnacentral:pre_miRNA from 1 species
AUGCUAAUUAUCUGGAGAGUCUUGUUAGAAUGCAGAUUCUGAUUCUGCAGGUUUGGGGUGGGGCCUGGGAUUCUGCAUUUCUAACAGGUUCCCAGAUAAGGCCAAU